AUUGAACGCUGGCGGCAGGCCUAACACAUGCAAGUCGAGCGGAUGAAGGGAGCUUGCUCCUGGAUUCAGCGGCGGACGGGUGAGUAAUGCCUAGGAAUCUGCCUGGCAGUGGGGGAUAACGUCCGGAAACGGGCGCUAAUACCGCAUACGUCCUGAGGGAGAAAGUGGGGGAUCUUCGGACCUCACGCUAUCAGAUGAGCCUAGGUCGGAUUAGCUAGUUGGUGGGGUAAAGGCCUACCAAGGCGACGAUCCGUAACUGGUCUGAGAGGAUGAUCAGUCACACUGGAACUGAGACACGGUCCAGACUCCUACGGGAGGCAGCAGUGGGGAAUAUUGGACAAUGGGCGAAAGCCUGAUCCAGCCAUGCCGCGUGUGUGAAGAAGGUCUUCGGAUUGUAAAGCACUUUAAGUUGGGGGGAAGGGCAGUAAGUUAAUACCUUGCUGUUUUGACGUUACCAACAGAAUAAGCACCGGCUAACUUCGUG
rnacentral:rRNA from 1 species